UACGAAGGGGGCUAGCGUUGCUCGGAAUUACUGGGCGUAAAGCGUGCGCAGGCGGCUAUGCAAGACAGAUGUGAAAUCCCCGGGCUCAACCUGGGAACUGCAUUUGUGACUGCAUGGCUAGAGUACGGUAGAGGGGGAUGGAAUUCCGCGUGUAGCAGUGAAAUGCGUAGAUAUGCGGAGGAACACCGAUGGCGAAGGCAAUCCCCUGGACCUGUACUGACGCUCAUGCACGAAAGCGUGGGGAGCAAACAGG
rnacentral:rRNA from 1 species